UACGUAGGGCGCAAAGCGUUGUCCGGAAUUAUUGGGCGUAAAGAGCUCGUAGGUGGCUUUGUCGCGUCUGUCCGUGAAAGCCCAUGGCUUAACUGUGGGUCUGCGGUGGAUACGGGCUGGCUAGAGGCAGGUAGGGGCAGCGUGAAUUCCUGGUGUAGCGGUGAAAUGCGCAGAUAUCAGGAGGAACACCGAUGGCGAAGGCAGGUCUCUGGGCAUUAACUGACGCUGAGGAGCGAAAGCAUGGGGAGCGAACAGG
rnacentral:rRNA from 1 species